GGUCGGAAUGACGUCAUAGCAAAAUGGCGUCACACACCGUGAGAGUAUUUUCAGACCACAACUCCAACCUGCAUUUAGACGAAGAGAAGACCCAGCCAUUCAACUGUGUGAUGUACCGUGCAGCAUCUGACCCUACCACCUAUUACCUUGACCAGCAAUUCAAUUCAAUUCAAAUGGCUUUAUUGGCAUGAGGGCUGGAAGCUGAUGACAAAGAGGGAGCCGAACCCAUGGAAGAGGAAGAGGAGAUGCCUGCCACAAACGCACCACCUCACAAUGAAUGCUUCACUAAAGACCAGAUUUUGUUCCUCAUUGAUUUGAUGAGGAACAAGCUGGAAGAGGAUGGAGGUGAGCUGCCCAAAACAUUGAGAGAAUUGAAUGCCAGGGUGAAGGCGGGCAAGGGAUCAAAAAAACUCAUGUGGAAGGAGAUGGCUGCCAAGCUGACAAACCACUUUAAAGUGGUUUUUGACCCAGACAGAGUGGCCCGGAAAUGGGGAACGCUUGAGGAAGCGUACAAGAAAAUUAAAGAUAACGCACCACAGGCAAGGGUGCACUACGCUUUCAAUUUUACAACGAGAUGGAGCAACUUCUGGGAGGGCACCAUGAUAUUGAGUUUCCAGUGGUGGGAACUUCUGAUGGCUUGGAAAUGAGGAGACCCGAUGCACUUCUCACUGACCGACAGCAUCCUUCUGCCAGUCUUUCCUCGGGGUCAGCCAGUCUUUCCUUGGGCCCAACUCCAUGUUGUACCCGUCGCCAAGAGGAAAGUAGCCUCUUGGGAU